rnacentral:rRNA from 1 species
UGAAUACGAGACGCUAAGGCGUCGAAGUAGUGUAUGUCAUACUUCCAAGAAAAGCUUGCACUGUCAUAGAUAAAAACGCCUGUACCAUAACCGACACAGGUGGGUAGGUAGAGUAUACUAAGGGGCCGAGAUAACUUUCUCUAAGGAACUCGGCAAAAUAACUCCGUAACUUCGGGAGAAGGAGUGCCUUAUUCGUAAGGUUGCAAUAACAAGAUCCAAGCAACUGUUUAUCAAAAACACAGGUCUCCGCUAAGUCGUAAGACGAUGUAUGGGGGCUGACGCCUGCCCAGUGCCAGAAGGUUAAAGAAGUUGGUUAGCAAUUGCGAAGCUGAUAACUGAAGCCCUGGUGAACGGCGGCCGUAACAAUAACGGUCCUAAGGUAGCGAAAUUCCUUGUCGGGUAAGUUCCGACCCGCACGAAAGGCGUAAUGAUUUGGAUACUGUCUCGGAGAGGGGCUCGGUGAAAUAGACUUGUCUGUGAAGAUGCGGACUACCUGCACCAGGACAGAAAGACCCUAUGAAGCUUUACUGUAACUUGAAAUUGAAAUUGGACUUUAUUCGCGCAGUAUAGGUGGGAGGCGUUGAUUAUAAUCUUGUGGGAUUAUUGGAGCCAUCAGUGAGAUACCACUCUUGUAAUGUUAGAUUUCUAACUUUGAAUCAUUAUCUGGUCAAAGAACAGUUUCAGGCGGGCAGUUUGACUGGGGCGGUCGCCUCCUAAACGGUAACGGAGGCGUACAAAGGUUUCCUCUGAACGGUUAGAAAUCGUAUCUAGAGUGUAAAGGCAUAAGGAAGCUUGACUGUGAGACCUACAAGUCGAGCAGGGACGAAAGUCGGUCUUAGUGAUCUGACGGUACUGAGUGGAAAGGCCGUCACUCAACGGAUAAAAGUUACUCUAGGAUAACAGGCUGAUCUCCCCCAAGAGUUCACAUCGACGGGGAGGUUUGGCACCUCGAUGUCGGCUCAUCGCAUCCUGGGGCGGUAGUACGUCCCAAGGGUUGGGCUGUUCGCCCAUGAAAGCGGUACGCGAGCUGGGUUCAGAACGUCGUGAGACAGUUCGGUCCAUAUCCGGUGUAGGCGUUAGAAUAUUGAGAGGAGCCUUCUUUAGUACGAGAGGACCGAGAAGGACAUACCUCUGGUGUACCAGUUAUCGUGCCAACGGUAAACGCUGGGUAGCUAUGUAUGGAGUGGAUAACCGCUGAAAGCAUCUAAGUGGGAAGCCCACCUCAAGAUAAGUAUUCUCAAAAAA